GCUGGCGCCCGAUCUCCGCGGCUGGCCUGAUAGAUUACAAGCAACCAAGAGAAAUAUCCGGCGUUUGGGGAUCUGCACAUGCCAACCGCUUUGGUUCAAAGGGGACCCUUGAUGAAACGUGGCUGAUCCGGGAUGCCCUACCUCUGUCUGGGGGACACAAUGCCCCAGCUUUCACGAACCCUGUUCUAAGAUAAUGGCGUGGAGCAAGGCAGCUGACCCACUUUCUUUACACAACUUGGAUACUACCUCUUUAUGCUGGAUGUGCCCAGAAUCAGAAUUCCACCAACAUUCACUUCCCUUGGUAAGUGGGCAUGAAAGCUGCUAAUAAGACCCCACCCCCUCCCAGCUCAACACAUCUUUAAUGAGUUUGGCCAUUUUGAUAAUUGUGGGAAGAGGCUUGUUUGUGUGUGUGAUGCUAUCGUUGCUUGAGGGUGGGUAUGUGCUUCAUAGUACUGGAUGUAUUUCAUGUUUACCAGCAUCAAUAAAAAAUAAAUAAAGGAUCAGGUCUUAA